AGAGCGAACGCUGGCGGCGUGCUUAACACAUGCAAGUCGAACGCGCAGCAUUCUGUAGCAAUACAGGGUGUGGGCGCGUGGCGAACGGGUGCGUAACACGUGGAUAACCUUCCUUCAGGUGGGGAAUAACCCAGUGAAAAUUGGGCUAAUACCGCAUAACAAAACGAUGAGACAUCUUGUUGUUUUCAAAGGCGCAAGUCGCCAGAAGAGGAUCCGCGGCCGAUUAGCUUGUUGGCGAGGUAAUGGCUCACCAAGGCAAUGAUCGGUA
rnacentral:rRNA from 1 species